rnacentral:lncRNA from 1 species
GAACGGAACGCAGAUUUGUUGCAGGUGGCAGUGUGCUGGGGGAAUAGGGUCCUGGUGUGUGGCUUAGGCCCCCGAAGAGCACAAGCACCAGGAGAGCCUACUGAGUCUCGGCACCAAUGUUCCAAAAUGGAGUGGGGUGAGGGGGUACCUGGCAGGCCCGCGCCAAGAUGUCCCCCUGAGAGAUUACGCCGCGCAACAGAUCUGGCCACAGAUGCAGGAACUGUGCUAUACAUGUAUCCUUUGCGGUUGGACUCCCCAGGAUCUGUUGAUCUUCACAUUGUAUCCAGUUGCGGUUUUACGCAACAGUCUCCAUUUGCUGUGAAGAGAAGUUUCUUUGAACGGGACCAUGACCAUAUCAAGCUGCAAGGGAGUCUGGAAAAAAUCGUGUUUGGUUGUUACUGUUCUGCUACAACGAGUCAACUGGGUAUUGAAUAGGCAUGGAUACUCUCUCCCAUUCUUAGCAUUCUCUUUUCUUCCCCAUCUCUGUGUCUCUUCAACUUCAGUCUGGAUUCAAAUAUCUGCUCCAGGAUUUGGAACUUAAGAAGAAACUGUUUGUGUUUAAUCCCACUGCGGAACCAAAAACUGUAGUUGAGAUGCCAAAUAUAAACAGACAUGCCAGAUGCAAGGCUUCAGCAGAGAAGGCUCACCUUGUACUUACUGAACGACAGCUUCACUGACCAGCUUAAGAACAUCAGUGAAUUACAGAGAAAUAAACUUUCGACUCAGCACAACACUGAAGACUUGUUUGUGUCACGUAUUUGUCUUGUUUUGCUGAAUUCUUGUGGGAUUUUGGUCUCCUCCAUCUGCCC